rnacentral:rRNA from 1 species
UACGAAGGGGCUAGCGUUGCUCGGAAUCACUGGGCGUAAAGGGUGCGUAGGCGGGUCUUAAGUCAGGGGUGAAAUCCUGGAGCUCAACUCCCAGAACUGCCUUUGAAUACUGAAGUAUCUUGAGUUCGGGAGAGGUGAGUGGAACUGCGAGUGUAGAGGUGAAAUUCGUAGAUAUUCGGAAGAACACCAGUGGCGAAGGCGGCUCACUGGCCCGGUACUGACGCUGAUGUGCGAAACGU